CGUAAAACGUACCGUAAGAAUUGAUCAAUCAUGUUGAGAAUCGUCGAACCGUAAGGUCAUCAUUUUGAUGAAUAAUUCGAUCGUAAUUGGUCAAUUCUUACGGUACAUCUUAUGUUACUGUUCUGUCAAUUUGUAUGUGAAAUCUCUUGAAGUCAAAAUAAUAUUGGUGUAGUCAUUCAACUAAAAACCAAAAAUAAAUGAUUCGUCGACAGCACUUCAAUAUCGAUUGAUGAACAUUUCUCGUUAGGUAUACUAUUCGCGACGAUGAGCAGUGGCGUAGUUUCACUAUCAGCCUCGUUCUGACUGGAGUUGCGAGUAUGAACGGGAUUUGUAUUGGAGAAAACUUGGAGAAAACUUGAUCAUUUAAAUAAACCUUCCAUUUACAACAAGAAAACAGAAAGCAGCGGCCCUUCUGAAAUACAGUUUCAAAGAUGCAGGAGAGUGACUGCGUGCUUCCUGGUACAAGAAGAUCGAUAGAAUACAUGCGCGCUUGGCCACGCUGUGACGCGCACAAGUAGUCUUCUAAAACGCAACGCGAGUUGUUGCACGCAUAUGUACGAGCAAACAUUCGUUCGCAGAUUUGUGCGUUUCUCGGCGCGAAAGUGAGCAUUAUCGAGGCGCGACACGAAUCAUCGAGUCAUCUGGUGUUCGCGCGACACGCGUAAUUUUCUUCUCGAGCUUAGCACUGACAGAACCGUCGCCCGUCGCGCCAGAAUUAAUUCUUACUCACCCACCUACCCCACAUAGUGACCUAGAAAAGCUAAACUUCACAGUUCGCCGUCGUCGUUACUCCCCCGCUAGUUAGCAGCCCCGAAAAUAUCCGUCACGCGAGCGUACACGCGCACAAUUCGAGAAUGUGAGCUUUGAAGAACGCUUUUCUCUCGAUUUGGCAGCUGAUUACUAUGGCUGAUGACUCCAUCAGAGCACCACACUGGCUGACUAACCAAUGACGCUAAUUACGUUAACGCACGACGCUCGUAAUCUCUAUUUAUAGGCGUGAAAUAACAUUAUGCCCGCAGCGUUUCCUACACUCUAUCUUUUAACAUUUUAACAUGCACUAGCGCCUAUGUUCCGUACGUAUUACACGUUUCGUGUGUUUUCGAGAACAUAAAGGCGAAUAAACUUUAUCAUAUUUGUUGUUGCGUAGAUACUUGAAACAUUUUGUGAUGAAACAAUUGUGAAAAAACACGAUAGAAUUAUUAUUGGAUAUGAUAAUUUAAACGAAUGACUUGAGAAAUACAUUAUAUUAAACAAUCGAUCACAUUAAAGAAAAUGUCUGAUGAUACUAACCAGAAUUCUAUUCAGGUUUACCAAACGGUUUGGUGAAUAAUCGUGUAACAAGAUAUUUAAUCAAUGAUACCAAACUAUCUGAUGAACGCAUUGUCUAAGUAGCAUUACAGUAAUGCUUAAAUAUGUUUCCCAAACCAUCUGGUACAGCAUAUAAUUCAUUUGGUGAAUGUUAUAUAUGUACAGUUAUAUA